rnacentral:rRNA from 1 species
CUAUGCCUAGCCCUAAACCCAAAUAGUUACAUAACAAAACUAUUCGCCAGAGUACUACUCGCAACUGCCUAAAACUCAAAGGACUUGGCGGUGCUUCACAUCCACCUAGAGGAGCCUGUUCUAUAAUCGAUAAACCCCGAUAGACCUUACCAACCCUUGCCAAUUCAGCCUAUAUACCGCCAUCUU